GUUGGGUAGGGGAGCGUUCUGUAAGCCUGUGAAGGUGGCCUGUGAGGGUUGCUGGAGGUAUCAGAAGUGCGAAUGCUGACAUAAGUAACGAUAAAGCGGGUGAAAAGCCCGCUCGCCGGAAGACCAAGGGUUCCUGUCCAACGUUAAUCGGGGCAGGGUGAGUCGACCCCUAAGGCGAGGCCGAAAGGCGUAGUCGAUGGGAAACGGGUUAAUAUUCCCGUACUUGGUGUUACUGCGAAGGGGGGACGGAGAAGGCUAUGUUGGCCGGGCGACGGUUGUCCCGGUUUAAGCGUGUAGGUGUGUGUUCCAGGUAAAUCCGGUUCACUUUAACACUGAGGCGUGAUGACGAGGCACUACGGUGCUGAAGCAACAAAUGCCCUGCUUCCAGGAAAAGCCUCUAAGCAUCAGGUAACAUCAAAUCGUACCCCAAACCGACACAGGUGGUCAGGUAGAGAAUACCAAGGCGCUUGAGAGAACUCGGGUGAAGGAACUAGGCAAAAUGGUGCCGUAACUUCGGGAGAAGGCACGCUGACAUGUAGGUGAAGUGAUUUACUCAUGGAGCUGAAGUCAGUCGAAGAUACCAGCUGGCUGCAACUGUUUAUUAAAAACACAGCACUGUGCAAACACGAAAGUGGACGUAUACGGUGUGACGCCUGCCCGGUGCCGGAAGGUUAAUUGAUGGGGUCAGCGCAAGCGAAGCUCCUGAUCGAAGCCCCGGUAAACGGCGGCCGUAACUAUAACGGUCCUAAGGUAGCGAAAUUCCUUGUCGGGUAAGUUCCGACCUGCACGAAUGGCGUAAUGAUGGCCAGGCUGUCUCCACCCGAGACUCAGUGAAAUUGAACUCGCUGUGAAGAUGCAGUGUACCCGCGGCAAGACGGAAAGACCCCGUGAACCUUUACUAUAGCUUGACACUGAACAUUGAGCCUUGAUGUGUAGGAUAGGUGGGAGGCUUUGAAGCGUGGACGCCAGUCUGCAUGGAGCCGGCCUUGAAAUACCACCCUUUAAUGUUUGAUGUUCUAACGUGGACCCGUGAUCCGGGUUGCGGACAGUGUCUGGUGGGUAGUUUGACUGGGGCGGUCUCCUCCUAAAGAGUAACGGAGGAGCACGAAGGUUGGCUAAUCCUGGUCGGACAUCAGGAGGUUAGUGCAAUGGCAUAAGCCAGCUUGACUGCGAGCGUGACGGCGCGAGCAGGUGCGAAAGCAGGUCAUAGUGAUCCGGUGGUUCUGAAUGGAAGGGCCAUCGCUCAACGGAUAAAAGGUACUCCGGGGAUAACAGGCUGAUACCGCCCAAGAGUUCAUAUCGACGGCGGUGUUUGGCACCUCGAUGUCGGCUCAUCACAUCCUGGGGCUGAAGUAGGUCCCAAGGGUAUGGCUGUUCGCCAUUUAAAGUGGUACGCGAGCUGGGUUUAGAACGUCGUGAGACAGUUCGGUCCCUAUCUGCCGUGGGCGCUGGAGAACUGAGGGGGGCUGCUCCUAGUACGAGAGGACCGGAGUGGACGCAUCACUGGUGUUCGGGUUGUCAUGCCAAUGGCACUGCCCGGUAGCUAAAUGCGGAAGAGAUAAGUGCUGAAAGCAUCUAAGCACGAAACUUGCCCCGAGAUGAGUUCUCCCUGAGACUUAAAGUCUCCUGAAGGAACGUUGAAGACGACGACGUUGAUAGGCCGGGUGUGUAAGCGCAGCGAUGCGUUGAGCUAACCGGUACUAAUGAACCGUGAGGCUUAACCUUACAACGCCGAAG
rnacentral:rRNA from 1 species